UAAUAAGUGUUUUAUGGCACUUUUUAAAUCCAUAUCCACCUUGUGUGCAAUGUCAGUCGGUUUUCUUUUUCGUCAAGAAAAAAAGGAUCGACCAAACACCAACUUAUUCUAAUUGAACUUUUGUCUGAAAACUAUUAUGAAUAAACUAAUUCAAAAUA
rnacentral:misc_RNA from 1 species